GUACUUUCAUAUUUGCAUUUAAAGGAAGCACUUAGUGUGUGCCUGUCAUAUUUUAAGGGCGAGGGAGAAAGGCCCUCCAAUGCACAGCAGACCUGGCCCAAAGUGGCCUCUGUUCUUAGGAGUGUGACGGCU
rnacentral:snoRNA from 1 species